AUACGUAGGGGGCGAGCGUUGUCCGGAAUGAUUGGGCGUAAAGGGCGCGUAGGCGGCCCGGUAAGUCUGGAGUGAAAGUCCUGUUUUUAAGAUGGGACUUGCUUUGGAUACUGUCGGGCUUGAGUGCAGGAGAGGUAAGUGGAAUUCCCAGUGGAGCGGUGAAGUGCGUAGAGAUUGGGAGGAACACCAGUGGCGAAGGCGACUUACUGGACUGUAACUGACGCUGAGGCGCGAAAGUGUGGGGAGCAAACAGGAUUAGAUACCCUGGUAGUCCACGCUGUAAACGAUGAAUACUAGGUGUAGGGGGUAUCAACUCCCUCUGUGCCGCAGCAAACGCAAUAAGUAUUCCGCCUGGGGAGUACGGCCGCAAGGUGGAAACUCAAAGGAAUCGACGGGG
rnacentral:rRNA from 1 species